rnacentral:rRNA from 1 species
GAUGAACGCUAGCUACAGGCUUAACACAUGCAAGUCGAGGGGCAGCAUGAACUUAGCUUGCUAAGUUUGAUGGCGACCGGCGCACGGGUGCGUAACGCGUAUGCAACCUACCAUCAACAGGGGGAUAACACUGAGAAAUUGGUACUAAUACCCCAUAAUAUCUCAUGCGGCAUCGCAUGGGGUUGAAAACUCCGGUGGUUGAUGAUGGGCAUGCGUUGUAUUAGCUGGUUGGUGAGGUAACGGCUCACCAAGGCGACGAUACAUAGGGGGACUGAGAGGUUAACCCCCCACAUUGGUACUGAGACACGGACCAA